UCACAUGUGUUGCCGGGGUAACAAAAACUCUGAGUUCUCUCUGCUUCAGAGUUGUGUUGACCUGGCUCUGUAUGUAUGG
rfam:Branchiostoma floridae genomic scaffold BRAFLscaffold_258, whole genome shotgun sequence.